rnacentral:sRNA from 1 species
GGACCGCCCCGAGGGGGCUGGGUGCAUCUGAAAACUCGGGUACACCCUAAGGCCAUACGGACAGCCGGGUCCACUGCCGA